rnacentral:rRNA from 1 species
AGCAGCAGUGGGGAAUAAUGGACAAUGGGCGCAAGCGUGAUCCAGCCAUACCGCGUGGGUGAAGAAGGCCUUAGGGUUGUAAAGCCCUUUUGUUGGGAGAGAAAUCCAGCUGGCUAAUACCCGGUUGGGAUGACGGUACCCAAAGAAUAAGCACCGGCUAACUUCGUGCCAGCAGCCGCGGUAAUAGGAAGGGUGCAAGCGUUACUCGGAAUUACUGGGCGUAAAGCGUGCGUAGGUGGUCGUUUCAGUCCGUUGUGAAAGCCCUGGGCUCAACCUGGGAACUGCAGUGGAUACUGGGCGACUAGAGUGUGGUAGAGGGUAGCGGAAUUCCUGGUGUUGCGGUGAAAUGCGUAGAGGUCAGGAGGUACAUCCAUGGCGAAGGCAGCUACCUGGACCAACACUGACACUGAGGCACGAACGCGU